AGAGUUUGAUCAUGGCUCAGGACUAACGCUGGCGGCGUGCCUAACACAUGCAAGUCUGAGGAGAAUGGGAUUCGCAAGAUUCCCUAGUAAACUGGCGAAAGGGUGAGUAACACGUAGGCAACCUACCCUUCAGUGAGGAAUAACACUGGGAAACCGGUGCUAAUGCCACAUGAUAUCCCGAGUUCGCAUGGACACGGGAUCAAAGAGAGCUUCGGCAACGGAGCAUCGCUGAUGGAUGGGCCUGCGUCCUAUUAGCUUGUUGGUGGGGUAACGGCCUGCCAAGGCUACGAUGGGUAGCUGGUCUGAGAGGAUGAUCAGCCACACUGGCACUGAGACACGGGCCAGACUCCUACGGGAGGCAGCAGUGAGGAAUAUUGGGCAAUGGGCGAAAGCCUGACCCAGCAACGCCGCGUGAGUGAUGAAGUACCGAGGUACGUAAAGCUCUGUUAGGAGGGACGAAUGUCCGGCUUGCCGGAAGUGACGGUACCUCCAGAGAAAGCUCCGGCUAACUCCGUGCCAGCAGCCGCGGUAAUACGGGGGGAGCAAGCGUUGUCCGGAUUUAUUGGGCGUAAAGAGCGUGUAGGCGGGCCGAUAAGUCGGUGGUGAAAUCUCUCGGCUUAACCGAGAAAUCGCCUUCGAUACUGUCGGUCUUGAGUAUGGAAGAGGGAAGUAGAAUUUCUGGUGUAGCGGUGACAUGCGUAGAUAUCAGGAGGAAUACCAGUAGCGUAAGCGGCUUCCUGGUCCGUUACUGACGCUAAAACGCGAAAGCGUGGGGAGCAAACAGGAUUAGAUACUCUGGUAGUCCACGCCGUAAACGAUGGGUACUAGGUGUUGGAGGAUCGACUCUCUUCAGUGCCGAAGCUAACGCAUUAAAGUACCUCGUCUGGGGAGUACGAUCGCAAGAUUGAAACUCAAAGGAAUUG
rnacentral:rRNA from 1 species